CCUACGGGUGGCAGCAGUGAGGAAUAUUGGUCAAUGGGCGCGAGCCUGAACCAGCCAAGUCGCGUGCGGGAAGACGGUCCUAUGGAUUGUAAACCUCUUUUGUCGGGGAGCAAAAGACGCCACGCGUGCCGUUCCGAGUGUACCCGAAGAAAAAGCAUCGGCUAACUCCGUGCCAGCAGCCGCGGUAAUACGGAGGAUGCGAGCGUUAUCCGGAUUUAUUGGGUUUAAAGGGUGCGCAGGCGGCAGCUCAUGUCAGCGGUAAAAUUGUGGGGCUCAACCUCGUCGAGCCGUUGAAACUGGUGGUCUUGAGUGAGUGAGAAGUAGGCGGAAUGCGUGGUGUAGCGGUGAAAUGCAUAGAUAUCACGCAGAACUCCGAUUGCGAAGGCAGCAGACCGGGGCGCAACUGACGCUCAUGCACGAAAGUGUGGGUAUCGAACAGGAUUAGAUACCCGGGUAGUC
rnacentral:rRNA from 1 species